rnacentral:rRNA from 1 species
GGAAUAUUGGACAAUGGGGGAAACCCUGAUCCAGCGACGCCGCGUGGGUGAAGAAGGCCUGCGGGUUGUAAAGCCCUUUCGGUGGGGAAGAAAAGCCUCGACCUAAUACGUCGGGGUCUUGACGUAACCCACAAACGAAGCCCCGGCUAACUCUGUGCCUGCAGCCGCGGUAAUACAGAGGGUGCGAGCGUUAAUCGGAAUUACUGGGCGUAAAGCGGACGUAGGCGGCUCUGCAAGUCGGGUGUGAAAUACCCGGGCUCAACCUGGGAACUGCAUUCGAUACUGAAUUGCUGGAGUAUGGGAGAGGGAAGUGGAAUUUCCGGUGUAGCGGUGAAAUGCGUAGAUAUCGGAAGGAACACCAGUGGCGAAAGCGACUUCCUGGACCAAUACUGAAGCUCAGGUGCGAAAGCGUGGGGAGCAAA